rnacentral:rRNA from 1 species
AGAUUGAACGCUGGCGGCAGGCCUAACACAUGCAAGUCGAGCGGCAGCACGGGUACUUGUACCUGGUGGCGAGCGGCGGACGGGUGAGUAAUGCCUAGGAAUCUGCCUGAUAGUGGGGGAUAACGCUCGGAAACGGCGCUAAUACCGCAUACGUCCUACGGGAGAAAGCAGGGGACCUUCGGGCCUUGCGCUAUCAGAUGAGCCUAGGUCGGAUUAGCUAGGUUGGUGGGGUAAUGGCUCACCGAAGGCGACGAUCCGUAACUGGUCUGAGAGGAUGAUCAGUCACACGUGGAACUGAGACGACGGUCCAGACCUCCGUACGGGAGGCA